rnacentral:rRNA from 1 species
CGGGCGGUUGGAUACGUACGAGAGUAGUAGUUAUUGUGUUCUUGAUCUUAAGAAGUUGGCGGUUUCCUACUCCGUUCAUAGGAAUCUGUCUCGUUAUCGAUCCCCGCGUUGGACCUUGCUUAUGGAAAAUUUUGGUUUGUAUACCGCCGUUGAUUGAUUAUCUUUUUAUAGUAUCUUGAAUUUUCUGGUUUCUUUAAUUUGAUUAAUUGCAAGUCAAGGUGCAACUUUUUCUGGAGUAAUGAUGGAUUACAGGGGGAUGUGUUAAUUGAAUAGUUUGUUUGAAUAUGGACUUAAAUGUGAUUUUGGCUGCAAUGUUUUGUAGGUGUUUUUUGAUAUGUGGUUCUAGGAUAUGUACUUUUCGCCCGUCUCUCACAAAUAAGUAUCAGAUGAAAUAAGUCGUAACAU